CAACUUUGAUGUUUUCAACAUCUUAAAGGCACUUCUUGAGUCAAUCACCUCCGCAGCUAGUGAUCUCAAUACUUUAAAUGAAGUGCAGGUUCAACUGAAAAAAGCAGUGGACGGAAAAAGAUUCUUGCUGGUCUUAGAUGAUGUUCGGAACGAGGACUACAGCUUGUGGGUAGACUUAAAAGCUCCAUUCUUGGCUGCUGCACCAAACAGUAAGAUGAUCAUCACCACACGGCAUUCGGAUGUUGCAUCAACAAUGGGACCUAUUGAACAUUAUAAUCUGAAGAGUCUGUUAGAUGAUGAUUGCUGGUCCAUUUUCAUAAAGCAUGCACUUGAAGGUAGAGAUCUUAGCGCACAUCAAAUUUCAGAAUCAUUCCGCAAGAAAGUUGUUGGCAAGUGUAGGGGCUUGCCUCUGGCAGCAAAAACGCUCGGGGGCCUUCUGCGCACAACAAGGCAUGCUGCGUGGGACGAUAUAUUGGAUAGCAAAAUAUGGGAUUUACAUCAACAAAGCAGCAUUCUCCCUGUGUUAAGAUUGAGUUACCAUCAUCUUCCGUCUCAUUUGAAAAGAUGUUUUGCUUUUUGUGCCAUCUUUCCAAAAGAUUAUGAAUUCACUGAGAAGGGGCUGAUUUUCUUAUGGAUGGCUGGAGGUAUUAUUCGACAGUCAAGAAACAGUGAGCAGAUGGAAGAUUUGGGCAGCAAGUGCUUUCAUGAUCUAGUGUCAAGGUCUAUUUUUCAACAAACCAGCUCUGGUAGUUCUAAAUUUGUAAUGCACGACCUUAUCCAUGAUUUUGCUGAAUUGGUUUCUAGAGAGACCAUUUUAAGGUUAGAGGAAUCCACCAACUUGUCGUCAAGGAGAUUUGAAAGAGUUCGCCAUUCUUCCUAUGGCCGUGGUUGGCUUGAUGGUAAAAAUAAGUUUGAGGUUUUCUAUGAAAUUGAACUUCUGCGAACAUUCUUGCCAUUCUGCAUAAGAGGUGGCCCUAAUACUAGUUAUGUAACUAGUUUACUUAUAUAUGAUUUGUUGCCGAAGUUUAAAAAGUUGAGGAUGCUAUCUUUAGAAGGAUACCAGAUUGGUGAGUUACCAAUUCCAUUUGAAGAUUUGAGACCUUUAAGGUUCCUCAACCUUGCCGACACUGACAUAAGAAGUUUACCCGAGUCAACAUGCAAAUUGCUGAACUUGGAAAUUUUGAUAUUACGAAAUUGUUCCCGUUUGAUAAAGCUUCCGCCCAAAAUGAGGAAUUUGAUCAAUUUACGCCAUCUCGAUAUAAAAGGUGCAAAGCUGCUGAAGGAGAUGCCAUUGGGAAUGAAAGCGUUGAGGAGUCUUCAAACAUUGUCCAAUUUUAUUGUAGGCAAGGGUGAAUCUGCAUCUGGUUUGGAAGAUUUAAAAAGUUUAAACUUUCUUUGUGAUGAACUCUGCAUUGCUGGAUUAGAGAAUGUGAAUAGUCGACAGAAUGCAAGAGAAGCCGCAUUAUGCGAGAAGCACAAUCUUGAAGCAUUGACUCUAGAAUGGGGGCCUCAAUCUAACAGUCCUCGGGAUGUAGUACUAGAGGAGAAUGUACUUGACACUCUACAGCCUCAUAAACGUAUAAAAGAGCUGGCAAUCAGGCACUAUGGUGGUGCAAGAUUUCCACUUUGGAUCGGACAUCCUUUGUUCUCCGAGAUGAAGGUCCUUAAAUUGGAGAACUGUGACAAGUGUGUAUGUUGAAAGUCAGAGAUUAUAGCCUAAUUUUGUGCACAUGUAUUUAUUUUUUCCUUGUAUAGCAUAUAUUUAUUUCCUUUCCUUGUAUAGCUUAUUUUUCCUAGUUUCCUAUAGCUUCCUUAUAUAGCAGGCUAGUAUAUAAUGUAAAGAUUGCAACUUCUAUGAAUAAGAAAAAUAUCUUCCCACUAUUUUUCUCAUGGUAUCAGAGCCCAAGUUAGGGUUUCUAGGCAGUUUUUUGUUUUUCAACAAAUUUUCAGCCACCAAUACCUUUAGGGUUUUAUCUUGUGCUGUGAGUUUAAAAAUUCUGAUUUAAAAUGUCAGAUGUGAGCGAAUCCAACUCUGGCAUCAACGUUAAACAUGUUCAAGCCAAUAAUUCUGUUGACAAUCCGUCAUUACAGAUUACAACUCACAAAUUGAAUGGCCAAAAUUUUCUGCAGUGGUCACAGUCUGUGAAGUUGUAUGUGAAGGGAAAAGGUAAAAUGGGCUAUCUUGAUGGGUCAAUAGACAUACCAGAGGCUGACGACCCUUCGUAUAAAAUCUGGGAUGAACAGAAUUCUAUGGUAAUGUCAUGGCUUAUUAAUUCAAUGGAUCCUCACAUUAGUCAGGCGUUUCUUUUCUUACCAUCAACACGAGAUUUAUGGGAUGCAGUCACAGAGACAUAUUCUGAUCUUGGAAAUACUGCACAGUUGUACGAACUUAAGUGUCGUAUUCAUGAAACCAAACAAGGAAGUGACAUUGUGACUACAUAUUACAAUAUCAUGAAUAGCUUAUGGCAAGAAUUGGAUUUGUAUUAUGAUGGAGAAUGAAAGUGUAGAGAUGACAGUAAAAGAUUUAAGAAGUUACAGGAGAAGGAGAGGGUGUUUGAAUUUUUGGCUAGUUUGAAUCCAAAUUUGGAUGAAGUUAGGGGACGAGUACCAAGCAAAGAACCUCUUCGCGCAAUUAGGGAAGUCUAUGCAUAUGUGAGAAGGGAAGAAAGUAGAAAAAGGGUAAUGAUGAAUAGCACUAAUACUGAUAAUUCUGCCUUGAUUACUUGUGCUACUGAUUCAGCCUUGGUAAGUGAACAAAAGAAUAUGAGCAAGAAGAAAGAUGACAAGGAUAAACUUUGGUGUGAUCAUUGCCAUAAGCCGAGACAUACCAAAGAGUUUUGUUGGAAGCUCCAUGGAAGGCCACAAAACUCAGGGAAGGGUACCAAGUCUUCUGGACAAAAUUCAAAGGGCUUUCAAGUUGCAACUGAUAAUGGCAAUGCAAACUCAGGGAGUCAAGGAUCAAAUCUGUUCACUAAGGAACAGCUUGAGCAACUUGUCAGGUUCAUGAGUCAAACACCUUCUGCUAAUCUAGCCCAAAUAGGUAAUUUUCUAAAUGCUUUCAGCAUCUCUUCAAAUACUUCUUGCCCUUGGAUCAUUGAUUCAGGAGCAACCGAUCAUAUGACUGGUUUGUCCAACUUAUUCUCUACUUACAAACCACUUUCUGGUAAACAAAAGGUGAAAAUUGCUGAUGGGUCUCUUUCUUCAGUUGCAGGAAAAGGUUCAAUUUCAGUUUCUAAAACAAUGAUCUUAAAAUCAGUGUUACACGUCCCUAAUCUGUCUUGUAAUCUUUUGUCUAUCAGUAAACUUACAAAAGACCUUAACUGUAUGGCUAAUUUUUCUCCUUCCAAUUGUGAAUUUCAGGACCUGUGUACGGGGAAGAAGAUUGGCAGUGCUAAGGAGGUGGAUGGACUUUAUUAUUUCGAAGAGGAGCCUGAAGCUUUGAGUAAUCUAUCCUUAGUUGACAAAAUUGUUUCUCAAGGGCCUAGUGAGAAUGAAAUUAGUUUGAUGCAUCUCAGAUUAGGACAUCCAAAUUUUUCAUAUUUGAAGUUGUUAUUCCCGACAUUGUUUAAGAAUAAAAGUGACAUUAAUUUUAAAUGUGAAGUGUGUGAAUUGUCCAAGCAUCAUCGUACUCAUUUUCCUGCCCAAACUUACAAAGUUUCACAACCCUUCUCUCUUAUACAUAGUGAUGUAUGGGGUCCUCUCCGUUUUCCCAAUAAUUUUGGAGCUAAGUGGUUUGUCACUUUUAUUGAUGAUCACACUCGAGUUUGUUGGGUGUAUUUAUUAAAAGAAAAAUCUGAAGUUUCUAAAACUUUUCAAAUCUUCCAUAAAGUGGUUCAAACACAAUUUCAAGCAAAAAUUCAAGUGUUUCGAAUUGACAAUGGCAAAGAAUUUUUUUCUUCUAUGUUGGGAAAUUAUUUGACUGAGAAUGGAAUUAUUCAUCAAUCCUCUUGUGUUGAUACUCCUCAACAAAAUGGAGUUGCUGAAAGAAAAAACAGACAUUUACUUGAAGUUGCUCGAUUUUUGAUGUUUACUAUGGGGGUACCAAAUUAUUUGUGGGGUGAAGCAGUUUUAACUGCCUGUUAUCUCAUAAAUAGAUUGCCUACUAGUACUUUGAAGUUUAAAACUCCAAUCGAACUUCUUCAGCAACUUUAUCGCAUGUCUCGGUCCUUUAGUUCUCUUCCUCCUAAGGUUUUUGGGUGUGUUGCUUUUGUUCAUGAUAAGAAUCAUAACAAAAGUAAGCUUGAUCCUAGGUCUCUUAAGUGUGUGUUUGUGGGUUAUUCUCCUACACAAAAAGGGUACAAGUGUUUUCAUCCUCCAACUAGGAAAUAUUUUGUAACCAUGGAUGUGACUUUUUUUGAAAUUAACCCUUAUUUCUCCAAAACCUCUCUUCAGGGGGAGGAUAUCACAAAUUCAACUCCACCUUUGAUAGUUUGCUUUCCACAAAAUCUGCCACCUUCCAAUAACAAUCAGCAAAAAGAACAACACUGUUCUUCCCCACAAAAACAGCCUGACCCAAGUGAUGACCAGCAAGUGUUUUCACAAAUUCAACCAUCCACCGCACAAAAUCAAGAGGAUACUCAAAAGCUAAAGGUAUAUUCUCGACGACAUAAAACAAUUUGUACAUCUCUUGACUGCCAAAAUUAUGAACCGAAUAUAGAGUUAUUGGAAGACACAGGUACUGUUCAAUCUGAGUCUAAAUUACAUUUAAACUCUAUUCCAUCACUCGAUUUAGAUUUAGAUUUGCCUAUUGCUCAUAGAAAAGGUGUUAGAACUUGUACUAAACAUCUUAUUUCUAAGUUUGUCUCUUAUCAUAGAUUGUCACCAUCAUUUAAAGCUUUUGCUACUAAUCUGUCAUCUGUAACUAUUCCUAGAACAGUACAUGAUGCUCUUGCAAAUCCAAAGUGGAGAGAAGCGAUUCAUGAAGAACUGAGAGCAUUAUAUAAAAAUAAAACUUGGGGUCUUGCAGACUUGCCUUCUGGAAAGAAAACUGUGGGUUGUAAAUGGGUAUUUACGGUUAAGCAUAAGGCUGAUGGAUCAAUUGAGAGAUUCAAGGCUAGGCUGGUGGCUAAGGGAUAUACUCAAACAUAUGGAAUUGAUUACCAAGAGACAUUUGCCCCCGUUGCAAAAAUAAACUCUAUUCGGGUCCUAUUGUCACUUGCUGCAAAUUUAGAAUGGCCAUUACAACAGUUAGAUGUGAAGAAUGCAUUUCUCCAUGGAGAUUUAGAAGAGGAGGUGUAUAUGGAUCCACCACCAGGGUUUGAGAAUAUGUUUGAAACAGGAAAAAUUUGCAAGCUGGAAAAGUCCUUAUACGGGCUCAAGCAAUCACCAAGAGCCUGGUUUGACAGAUUUACAAGAUUUAUUCUCAAAUGUGGAUAUCGACAAAGCCAUAGUGAUCAUACCAUGUUUCUUAAGCAUGGUAAAGAAGAUAAGCUCGCUGUCCUUAUUGUGUAUGUGGAUGAUAUCAUCUUGACUGGAAAUGACAUAGAUGAAAUUGAGAGACUCAAGAUGUUGUUAACCAAAGAGUUUGAAACUAAAGACCUAGGUUCUCUGAAAUACUUCCUCGGAAUUGAAGUGGCUAGGUCUCGGAAAGGGAUAUUUUUGUCACAAAGGAAAUACAUUUUGGAUCUCUUAGAAGAAACUGGGAUGUUGGGAUGCAAACCUAGCGAUGUUCCUAUAGAAUCCAACCAUAGACUUGGGGCAACUACUAAAAGCAGUUUGGUUAAUAAGGAACAGUACCAAAGAUUAGUUGGAAAGCUAAUCUAUUUGUGUCAUACUCGUCCAGACAUUACAUUUGCAGUAGGCGUUGUGAGUCAAUUUAUGCAUUCUCCUAAUGUAGAGCACAACACAUGGAAGUUGUGUUUAGGAUACUGAAAUAUUUGAAGACAUCUCCAGGAAAAGGCAUUUUAUUCUCUAAGAAUAAUCACCUAAGGGUUGAGGCAUAUACAGAUGCAGAUUGGGCUGGAUCAUUGGUUGAUAGAAAGUCAACAUCAGGUUAUUGUACAUUUGUUGGGGGAAAUCUAGUUACUUGGAGAAGCAAGAAACAACCAAUGGUUGCAAGAUCAAGUGCUGAAGCUGAGUUUAGAGCAAUGGCAUUGGGAAUUUGCUAGCUUAUGUGACUGAGAACGUUUCUAAUGGAGUUGAGGUGUGGAAAGCUGAAUCAAUGAGACUGUAUUGUGAUAAUAAAGCUGCCAUUAGCAUUGCUCAUAAUCCAAUCCAACAUGAUAGGACAAAACAUAUCGAGAUUGAUAGGCACUUUAUAAAAGAGAAGCUGGAGAGAGGCCUAAUAUGCAUUCCAUAUGUUACUACUCAAAAGCAAGUAGCUGAUAUUCUCACCAAGGGAUUAUCAAAACAAGUUUUUCAAUCACUGAAUUCCAAGAUGGGAAUGAUAGAUAUCUUCGAGCCAGCUUGAGGGGGAGUGUUGAAAGUCAGAGAUUAUAGCCUAAUUUUGUGCAUAUAUAUUUAUUUUUUCCUUGUAUAGCAUAUAUUUAUUUCCUUUCCUUGUAUAGCUUAUUUUUCCUAGUUUCCUAUAACUUCCUUAUAUAGCCUAGUCAGACUAGUAUAUAAUGUAAAGAUUGCAACUUUUAUGAAUAAGAAAAAUAUCUUCCCACUAUUUUUCUCAGUGUAUCUCUGCCAUCGCUUGGCCUGUUGAAUUCACUUAAGCACUUUGCUGUUAAAGGGCUGAAGAAACUAAAAAGCAUAGAGUCUGCGGUCUUUCCAUCAUUGGAGAUUCUAAGUUUUGAGAAUUUGCCAGAAUGGGAGCAUUGGGACACCAAUAUCAAAGGAAAUGUGCACGUUGAAAUAUUUCCAUUCAUCACAAGACACAAGCUACCUUCAUCUCUAAAAAGUAUAGUAAUUAAGAAUUGUGAGAAAUUGCAACGUCCGUUCGAUGAUGAAGAGGAUCGGGAAUUGCACAAAUCUCACAUCAUCUCCAGAGGUGGGCCUUCCAUCCUCGCUUUUUGGAAUUACAAAUUUACAGUUUUCAGAAGCUUAAAAAAGUGUGCAAAAGAGAUCGAGGAAAAGAGUCAGAGGUGAUAGAUGGAAAAUUCAUAUACGACCCAGAGUCAGAGGUGUUGAUUCUCUUAUUAAGGUCAGCUGAUUUCUAUUAUCCACUCUGACAAUCUCUGUGUUGUUUUUUUUCCAAAAUUUUGCAGUUCCAUAUAAUUUAAAAUGCCACUCACUUGUUUGUUAAGGUAAUUAGUCCAAAGUUCUUUUAUUCACUUCAAUCAAAAUCUUAGAUUGCAGAUAUUUGUCAAUUAUUUCACUCCAAUUAUUUCAUUUUUUAUUUUAAACUAGAAUUGGAGUAUAACAUUUUGGACCGCAAAUACUCUGAUACAUGAAAUUAACUGUCUUUGAUCGUUGGAUUUUGAAAUUGAUGAUGGUGAGAUGUGUACUUAUUCCUUCUUCGGACAACCUUGCCUUCUUUCUUCGGUAGCAUAUCUACUGAACAUUUCUCUGUUUAGUUAAGGAUGGAAGCUUGGAGUGGAGUAUUUGGUAACAUUUCUGCCGUAGAUGAAACCUUGAAGAAAUGCCUGCAGUUCCUGAGACCAAAAUACACGUCUGAAAGGUUCAGUGUAAUUUUUUUUUUUUUUCAAUUUAUGGUUCCGAUCUCAGACGAGUAUUUGGUUUAGAUUACAAAACACUUAUGAUUAAUUUCAUUUUCUUUUUUAUUUCAGGGAGAAGAAGUUGUCAGUUUCAAUCCAGAACUGGAAUAUGGCAAUUUGGUGCAAGCACACAUACCUGGUCACUGGGUCAGUGAAUCUGAACUUUACACAGUUUUUGCAACUCAGUGAUUUUGGAACGCAUAUUGGUGCAAGGAAAUCAAAAGAAAUUUAUGCAUAAUCAAAUUCUGAUAUUUGCUAUAUAUUAUACAUUCUAAAAUUUCUCCAGUUUGUUCUCAUAUUACCAUCAUCUUUUGCCUUCACCAAAAAAUAAAAAAUAAAAUAAAAAAAAUAAAAAUUGAGUGGCUUUCCAGUAGAUAUUUAAUCGGAGGUAUGACUGGAUUUUUUUCACUUCUGUAAAUCUUGCAUUUUAAACUGGCAAAUUUAACUUUAAUUUUAAUACGACUUUGUUGGUGCCUUGUGUUCCAGAAGCUAGAACGAUGUGUAGUUUUCAGAUAAUGGGGCUUGUAAAUUCUCUUGUAAGAAUCCAAUAAUUUGCUUUUGCACGUUCAUUUUAUUUGUGGAUCCUUGCAUCGGAAUUUGAUCAAUCCAAAAGGAAUUGCUUUUAGACAGAAGAAGAAUAGCAGUACCUAGCCUAUGACAUAGUGUAUGGACCUUCAAACCUGAAACUAUUAGUUUGAGGUAAAAAAUCCAUGACCCUCACAUGUUAACUUCUUCUAGUUACUUUCAUGAAAAACACAUUUAAGAAAUUUGCAAUUUUUUGUUAGUUAUGUAUCCGAUGCUGUUUUCCGUUUUAGCAUUUGUAGAAUCUACUAUGUUACAUGUGGUGCCUUUUGCAUUUAACUUCCUUUAUUUGUUUUGCUUGUGACUUAAGAACACCAAUAUUUGCCAGAGUUUUAGAGAAGCGUAUCAAGAUGCCUAAAAUCUUGACAAAUUUCAAGAUCCUUCAUUCUUCACAAUGGUAGACCUGUGAGUAAAAUUAUGCCCGCAAUUAUUGUGAAGUGUUUGCAAUUUUGAUGCAGCGAAAUGGUUUGCGGAUGGAAAGGUUUAAAACUGUUAAGAAUUACCCUGCAGGCUUGUUGGAUGUUGUAUACUCCAAAAGCCACCAACACCAAGAACUGCAACAGCAAGACUAGGUUUGCGUUAAUUCAAUCAGCUGUAAUAAUGAUGCAAAUGACACUAGCAAGCUGGACUUAGAGACCAGUCAGGUCAAUCAUCCAUUUCAUCAACAGUUAAUGUCAUGAUGGUGGCUAUUAGAGGAAACAAAGGAUGUGUCGGAAUCAAUAGAACAGUGAGAAGCAUGAGAGGAGCUUUGAUUAUAAGUAGGCUCAAUGAACAAGUGUUGGUAAGUGGUAAUUAAAGAAAUUUGUGAGCUUAGUAGAGUUUCAAUAUUUUCUGUUCGGGAUUUAGUUCAUAAGUAGAUACUCUGAUUAAGAAGCCUGAUUACAGUAGGUUUUUUUUUUUUUUUUUUUUUCUGGAUUUGCUGUUAUUUUGCCUUUCGAUUAUUUUUUCAACAUUAGGUUGAUCUCUUGAAGACUACGAGGAAGAUCCAGACUUGGAUGCAGGCGUGCAGCUUUUAACAGGUGAGAACAAAUGAAUGCUUUAACCAUGUUUCUCACUUAUCACAAUGCACGGAUUGAAGGCGUCUGAGUUGAUCCUGAAAAUGUGAUGGAAAUACGUCUCUGUUUUCAUAAAACAGAACAAGUAGAGUUCUCUGAUCAUGCCUGAGAAUUCGUUGCAUUGAAAUUUCUACCAUUGCCAAACAUAGAAUAAACUGGGGAUACAUUAGCUUUAGACUCAAUUUUGAGGAGGAAGUUUGUACUUGCAGCCUAUAAAAUCAUGUCCCUGACUCCCUGUUGUAUGUUUCCUUGGGAAAUGAAAGAUUCUGCGUGUUCUUUUAUUUCAAGUCUGUUGAAAUCACAUCUGUUUUCUCAGAUGCUUUCCAGAAGGUAACAACGUCAAUUUCAAAAAUGUUGGGGUAAGAUGCAUCAUGCAGUGCUGCUCAACAUGAGAAUUCCAGGCCGCAUUACCCGUAUGUGGAAUGAUCUCACACUACAACCUUGAGAACGUUGCAAGGAGUACACAACUAGAUGCAAGUAGUUUUAAAAUGAAUUCGCAUGGAAUUAUUUCUUGCUGCUGAUUACCAUCACGUCUAUCCGAAAAUUCUUGGAAUUUGUCACCAGCAUUGAAGGAUUGUAUACGUGAAGACAUAGCUGAUGGCCUUGGAAAGCUCCAUCAGCACUUAUAUCGGAAACAGCUGGUUGUAGUUGCUCCUGAGUGAUAUGAUUAAUAGAUACUGUAAAAAUGAACUGUGCCACUCAUAUCGAAAACCAGCUGUUAAGAUGUGUUGGUAAUGUGUUUGAUGCUUGUUUGAUUUAUGUUGUAUUCGGCUACAAAUCAAAGAUCAGAACAUGGGUGUGUUACUGGUUUCCAAAUCAAAAAAUGCCUCGUGAUGUUAGUGUUCACUGUUUUCACAGGAGACCAGGUUCCUUGUUAAUGAAUCAAGAAGAAGACAAGUGAAUCCAUGUCUGAGUUCAAAUGUGUCUCUUCUAUUUCUUUUACUGACACAUUUAUUUUGAUUUCUUCAUUGUGAUUGAAUUUGGUUUUUUUCCGUUCCAAAUUAGCUAAAGCCUCCUAGAGUCAUCAAGUUCUGUUAAGCUUUGGCUAGAUGACUAAAGAGUAAAGAUAGAAGAAAUCAAAACAAAUGAGUCAGGCCCCAACUGGCCCAUUGGCCCAUCUCUCUUCCAGCCCAAAUCACUCUCAUUUGCUAUUUUGCCUCCUUCAUCUCACUGCCCUCAUAACUCGACGUUCUCACGGUGGCUGCCAUCUUUCAGCUCACGCAUCUUUCAAAUUUCAAACCUAACAGCAUUCUGUUGCUCUGUCGUGGGUACUUCAAUUUCUGUCACCUUCGGUAAGCUUAUCUCCGCCCCUCUGUGGUUCUCUGUCUUUACAAUGUUGUUUCUUAUUCAAUUUACAGAAUUGAAUUCACUGUCCAGUGUAUGGGCUAGAUUUUUAUUCAAAAUAAUAUUAAACCCACCUCAGAUUUUAUCCCGUGGUAUGUAAAGUUCAGGUAAAGUUUCCACCUUUACGACCGUCCGAUGUUUAAAGUUUUAAUUUUGUUCCGGGGUUUUAUCAGUUUAUUUUGAAAUUAUAUCCAUUGUUAUUAUGAAAAUGGAACUAUUUUCAUUUGUUUAUUUCUCUAUGGAUGAGAAAACCGGUCUUUAAUCUUUAUAAUCUUUAUUUGAUUAUUAGAUUUCUCUUUUGUUAUUCAGAUGAGUUCAGUUUUCUAAUUCUGUGCAAUUGUUUUGUUGCAUUUUUCAAUUUUAUCUUUUUCCAAUGUGACGUUUAUGUUUGUAUUUUUUUAAAAGUGGACAUCAAUUUUGAUUUUUUGUUGCUUUGUUGUGAUUGAGUAGCCAAUUUUAAGUCCAUAUUAAACUUUCUCAAUUAUUAGUUGAAUUAUUUGGAUUUGAAAUUUUAAGUUCUUAAAACCGCCAUUUUAACUUGUUUGUUAAUGACUCUGUUGAACUUCAACAUUGGUUUUCAAGAACAAAAUUGAUGGAACUAUAAACCUUCGUUUCUCACAUGCGGGCAACAGGUUAUGUUAGACAGAGUGAAAUCGACAGAAGAAACCAAAACCUUGGAAACAGAGACACAAAGAGAGAUCAGCAGAAAUGGCUUGGUGCAGAGUACGCUCAGCUUCAUCGACACUCUUCAUUAUGCUUCUCCGCCCUUCCAUUCUCAACAAUAACACUACUUAACGCUAUCAGUCCUGUGGUACUCUUGUUUCUAUACUUGUGGAAUCUCUCUUUUAAUCCUCAAAGUUUGAAUUAUAUUAUAUUGCCUCUGUAUUUCUGCAGAAACUGAAUCAGUUGGUGAUGACAUUAAUUCUCAAGUCGGAAGUUGCAUGCGACUUGCUUGUAUGCAUGUUGGGACCAUCAUCAACAACAUUGAGGUAAACUCGGCCUAGAUUUUGAAAAAGAAUCCACUUCAAGGUACUGCUUAGUUUCUGGAAAUGAGAAACUGAUUGACACUAGACGUCAACCCACCAUUGAUACAGUGUCUAACCCCAGCCAUGAAGCUAAGAUGCUUAGGAAGGCUGGUCAGAGCCGUUGGUUGGGCCGAAGACCUGUGAUUAGAGGAGUACCCAUGAAUCCAGUUGAUCAUCCUCGUGGUCGAGGUGAGGGACGAGGCAAAAGUAGCGGUAACCAUGGAAGGUGUUCACUUACACGUUGGGGCAAGCCUUGUAAGUGGUGUAAAACUGCACCUCGUUAGAAGAAAAGGAAAUUUAGCUGUCUGAUAAUAUUGUCCUUCUGUGCUAUUUAGCCUUUUUAAUAUUGUCACAUUGUUUGUUAUAUCUUUGAUGUUAGUUUUGGACCAGCUUUUAACUGAUCCAUAAUGAAACUGAAGUUUAAUUUUCGAUUGAACUUUUACUGGUUUUACACUUCUGUCAUUUCAAUUUAGCAUUGAUUUAAGAUGCUGAAUUCUGUGAUUGGAGUCUGUAGAUUGGAAAGAGAGAUAUUAUGGGAUAGAAUAUAGAUUUUGUGUUUUGGUUUCUCAUGUUUAGAGAUAUUCUGUUCUUUUUCAUUUAUUCAAUUUGGUUAGUGGUGAUCUCUUAAAGAGUCAAUGCAUGUGUGUUUAUAUACUUUUCUUUUGGCCUUGAUUCUAUUUCUUGGGGAGUUUAUACAGAUUCCUCUUUUAUGCUUCACAUGCCACAUGAAAGAUGAAAGCCUUUUGUGUGAUUAGAAUUGACUUGCAUCAUAGUAACUUUGAACCACUGUGACAUUUUUAUAAUAGCAGUCUGCGAUCUCCUUGAAGGAUUCAAAGCAUUUUUUCUGUUAGUCUUGGCUUGCAUUAAAACCCUUUAUACGGAUUGGUUGGUCUCCUUUAAAGCAAUUCCUGUUUUAAGUAAUCAAAAUCUUGAUUCGGAAGUGUGUUUUAGCACUACUAAGGUUCUUUUAAAUACUAAAUUGAUUGUGAGUCUUCUGUAUCAUCUGAUUGAAAUACAUGAAAGCGACUACAAAAAUACACUUGGGGUUGUUUAUAAAGUCUUCAACAGCAUUUUUUUUUCCCCUUCUUCCUCAUGGUUGAUUUUUUAGUUGUUCUUUAACAAAACACUUAAAAGGUUCUCUUUAUAUGUUUCUGAAAAUAAUUUUAACAUAACCAUUUUUCAGAAGCACUUUAGAUACCUGUGGCAUUUAGAAAAUUUUGUUCCAGCGUUCACAUAAUAUACAUAGAAAUUUGAAUUUAUUUAAUUAUGAGCAUGUGCUAGUGGCUAUUAGCAUCCGCUUGUAUAUACGAAUGUAUUAUACAAUACAAUAUUAGCUUGACUGUAGUAUAGAGGAGAAUAGGGUUGGAAUUGGUCUGAAUUCUGAUCUUUGAAUAAAUAUAAUAGCUGAUCAAGCUGCUCAUGUGGCUCCAUUGUCGGCAGCUUACACAAGGUCUUUUAGCUUUUUAAAAAGUUUUGUGAUAUUUCAUAGUUCACAUGGAUUGCUACAGUUUAUAGAAUACCCAAUUAGGGCAUUUUUAAUUACUAUGCAUAGGAGUCUUCUUUCUUGUGCGCGCGUGCACGUAUAUUUCCCACUUCCGUUCACUCCAAAAGUAAAAAUUGCGGGCAAUUUUUAUCUUCAGUAAAAUUGGAGUAGAUGUUGUUCUUAUUGGCGCAAAUUUGCGAACCAUGUUUGUGGGACCCUUAAACUUGGGACUUUGUUAUGAUUAUAUGCAUUCAGGCUUUCGGUAGACCCUUGGAUAGUAUGAUCAAUGUAUUAGAAUUUAGAAUUCGUAUUUAUAAGGGUCAGUUUGGUAAUGUUAUAAUUUUUAAAAUAAUUAUUGUUAGUUAUAUUAUAUAAAUAAUCAGUUGUGAAUAGAAUCAGUUAAAUAGUUGAUAAAUUUUGUUUUUAAGGUGUUGCGAGUUUUAAAAACAAUUGUAUGUAUUUAGUAAAUCUCGCUUUUAAUGUAUUAUAAGAAUGCAAAAGACUUAAAUAGAUAGAAAUCUAUAAAAUUUAUUUACAUGUGCAUUUAUACAAUAACAUUUUAUGCAUGUAUAUAAUAAUUAAUAACUGAAAUAAAUAUUUUUAUUUUAUUAAUUAUAUAUUUUUCUUGUUAUCUCAAUAUAAUUGGUAAUAAUAAUAUCUUUAAUGGUGCAUUUAUUAAUUAGUAAUCGAAAUGGGCUGGAAUCAGAAUGAGAAAUGAAAAUUAUAAUAAAUUGUUUACUUUAUCUGUAGGAAUCAAAAUCACAAUGAGCUAUAUUAUCAUUAAUAUGUUUAUUUUGUCUUGGAAUCGAAACAGAUUGUUACAAAUUACUAAACUGAUUUUAUUAUUAUCAUUAUUAUUAUUAAACGAGGUAAAAGGGAAUUUUUAAUUUUCAUGUAGAAAUGCCGAUUCACUUCUCAUUCUCAUUCUCAUUUUCCGUUACCAUUCCGCCUCCUCAUAGGAUUACCAUUUCACAUUCUCAAAAAUUUACAGUUGACUCACAUUUCAUUUUGAUUUCUCCUUAUUUUGGAAGUGAAUAAGUUAAAGAAUCAUAUUCCCUUAUUCUUGUUUUUCAUUCACAUUCCUCCUCCUUAUUUUGGAAGUAAAUAAUUUAAAGAAUCAUAUUCCCUUAUUCUUGUUCUCGUUUUCAUUCUCAAUUAGUAAGUACACUAUAAAUGCAAUGAUUUUGUUUCCUAAUUAAACAAGGAUAAUUUUUAAAUUUUUAUAAUAUAUAUGUUAAGGUAUAUGUAGAAUUGUAUUGAAUAUGAAACUGACUCCCAAAAUCAUAUUUUAAAAAAACUUUUUUUUUUAUUUUUUUAAAUUUAUUGUAGGAAGGGGUGAUUUUAUCAAAGUAAUUUUUUAAAAAAAUUUCGGACCCAUUUGGGAUUGCUUUUGGAAGGCUCAAAAAGGAUUUUGAAUAGCUAAAAUUUAAGUUUGGUGUUUUAUAAUUUUUUUUUAAAAAAAAAUUACUCCUAAUAAAAUUAUCUUAUCCACGUUAGAUUUUAAAAAGAAAGGAAAAAAGUAAUUUUUUAAAAUCUGAUUUUAAGAAUCAUUUUUAUACUUAAUACAAUUUCAUAUAUAUCUUGAUAUAUAUCAUAAAAAUUCAAAAUUAUCUUUAUUAGUUAGAAAAUAAAAUCAAUAACUUUAAAAAGAUUAUUAUUAUUUCCAAUUAUAUUGAGCUAACAAAAAGAAAUAAAAUUACUAAUAUAAAAUUUAUUUUAACUAUUAAUUAUUAUAUUUACCAAUAAAAAACAUUUUAUAUACACAAUUUAUAAAUAUUUAAAUAAAAUUUAUUCUUGUCUAUUUCAACCAUUUAUAUUAUUACAGCAAUUUAACAACUGGUUGUCAUUGCUCGGGAAUUAUAUAAUUACCAUAUGUUGUAAAAAUGCAUUGAGCCAUGCCAUGUGUUUGAUACAGGUUAUGCUUGUUCGAUUAAAUUGUACUCACCUAUAAAUCAAUGAUUCAGUACAUGUGCAUGUUAGUGGUCUUCAGAAUCCAGAAUAAUAAAUGCCUUGAAAUGCUUGAGUUCAAUGAUUUCGCAGAAGACCAGGUUCCUUGUUAAUGAGUCAGCAUGACUGAAUCCUUCACUAAGCCAAAUUUGUUUCCACUUUUAGUUUAGAAAUUGUCAUUAAUUAAGAAAAAGUUUGAUAAAAUGCUUUGGAAGGCACUAUUCGUUGGACGUUUGCCCAGAAUUUAUGAAAUCAUUGGUGUUUCAUCCUAUUCGUAACACUCUUCUUUAUCUUCUAUUCUAACGAAGAAAUCUUUUAUUAGAAAAGUGACAAGAUUGCACCUUUCAUUUGAAUGUUAAGGAGGUGUAAAAUUUUCUCGUUAAAAUCCCAUCAUGAAAAAAACUCACGGGCAAAAACCUACUGAAAAUUAAAGAAAGAAGAGUAAAUCAUGAUAAAUACUCUCUCUUUUACAAUGCAAGCGGAUGCUUCAAUGAGUAGAUCAUGCGCCAAACUUGUAUAUCGUUGUUGGUAGUGCUUUGUUCAAUCAAUAUGCUAGAUUUUCACUUUCCUUUUUUUUUUUCUUCUUUUUUUUCCUUGUGGAUGCGAAAAUGAUUUGGGUUAAACUAUACUUAAUGCCGGUUUGGUACGACUUCUCUACUAAUUAAAAGAGUUUUUUUCUUAAAUGUUCAAAAAAAAAUUUAUUAUAAAUUGUAAUUUGAGUGGAUUUCUUGGGAUUAAACAAGUUAUAUUUUUGUCUCUAUAUAGAAGUUCAAGUUACAGAUUUUGGAAAUAGAGAUGUAGAGGUUUUUUUUUUUUUUUUUUUUUUUUAGAGAACUAAAUUGUGGAGACUAUCUUUAUUUGGUUAUACAAUUUUUUUUUUUAAUUUCAUAACAUAAUUUUAAAAGACUUAUUUAAUAAGUUUGAUAUAUUUUUGUAAAAAUUAUCAUUCACGUCCAAACUACUGAAGAUUUUUUUGUUAAACGCUCUACUUAAAAGCUAUAUUAAUUAUAAACUUUCUCAAAAAAAAUCAAUUCAAAGAGUUAUAGCAAACAAAGUGCUAGUUAACUUCAGUCGAUAAUAAUCUUCUAAUCCCUCCUACAAAUGACUUUCGACAAGAGUGGUGCUACUCCCAUCUCUUCAAAGCCCAUUUGACACCCCGUUUUCUUUAUUUAAAAUUUUAUACAUUUGAAAAUUAUAUUUUCUUUUACUUGACACUCUUCAAAUUCUAAAACUAAGCUUCAAAGAACCUUCGUCAUUAAAUCUCAUUGCCUUCCUUUAUUCUUGUUACUUGAGAAGAAGAAUGAGAGUCUGGAAGAAUGAAAGAAAAUUCAGCGAGAUAGAAAUCUAGUAAUUUCAUACCAUGAUUCAGAAUUUUUUUUUUCUCAAAAGAAUCUACUAUUCUUCUAUAUUUUAUAUAAAAAAAAGAGGAAAAGAGGAAACUGAGAGACUCUUUGUUUAAUGCUUGAAAGUUAGAAACAAAAGGUCCGGAAGCUGCCUGGCAAUGAGAGUGAUGCAUCAGCACUAAUUUCUAUCUCGAUAGCUACCAAUUACCACCCCUAGAAAGGCUGUUGAUCAACAAGCCAUAUCUACUGGUUUCCUUUCUUUAAAAGUUCUAAUGGUCCCCUUAAAAAUCUCUAUAUAGCUCAGUCUUCUCAUGAUAUAUCUGAUUUUCGCUGAGAAUUAUAGCAAGCACUUCAGAUAUCAUAAUACUUUGUGACUGACUACUGUGCAUGCUUAAUUAUAAGAUUAUUCCUUGUGGCCAAUUAAAAUGACCCCCUUUAGAGCCUCUGUAUUUGAAAAAGCAAGACAAUGAGCUUAAUUAUUGUCAAGGUCUCCGGUAGGAUACUCCUAAAUCCACAUACCCACCCACCAGAACUCCAAUCUUGAAACUUAUAGAUCAAACCAUAACUUAAUGUGCCUGACAACCAGGGAUAUGUCAGGCCUUUAAAGCACGGGAAAUUUACAGUAAUAACCAAAAAAAUUUCCCUUUUUUUCAUCUUAACCCCCUAAAAAUAUUUCUAUCAACAUUAGCCAUAAAACAACAUUUGAGACCAAAAUACCCCUCCCUCAUCUCUUCCCCAACACUCCCUUUCACUCAUCUCUCCCAAACCGAUCCAACUCCCAUCAUCGGCGGCGACAUCAUCCCUCGUCGGCGGCGGCUCCAUCUCUCACCGGCAUCCGAUCUACAACCUUCAACAAAACCUAGGUUAGUCAUUUUUCUUAUUUUCAUUAAUUUAAAAUGAGAUUUUAGAAUAAUAAUAGUUAUAGCUUGAGAUUAAUAGUGGUGGUGAUGAUGUUUGUGGUGGUUGGUGGUGUUUGGGAGUAUUGUUUUCGAUUUUGGAGUGAUUGUGCUUAAUUUUGCGGGUGGGGAGGGAGGAGGGCAGGGCGCGCGCGCGCGCCCAUCGCUGGGCAGCAGCGCGCGCCCAUGCGCGGCACGCUGUUGCACCAAAUCUGGUGUGACAGCAGGCGCUGUCGCACCAGAUCUGGUGCGACGGGCGCGUGUCGCACCAGAGCUGGUGCGACAGGCUUGCCCGUCGCACCAAAAAUUAGAUUUUUUUUUGUAACGAGUUAAUUUUUUUUUUUUUAUAAAUGUAAUGUAAUAAUUUUAUAAAUAUUACAGAUACAUGGCGAAAUCAGAAUCACCGGAUAUUGAAGUAGGCAAGAUGUAUUUUCGUUAUGCUGAUCACUUUCCUGGUCGAAUUUCGAGCAUGUGUAUGUUAUCUUCGGUCGUUAAAGCCAUCGAGGAAAAAUUAACAAACCGGCAGUUGCGUAUGUUCAAAAAGGAUAUAUUUGGGCAUUUCUUGGAGUGUCGAAGUUUUCCAUUUAGUGGGGUAAUUUUGCACAAUCUUUUACUGCGGCAAGUGGCCCAUGAAGAAGAUAGCCGUGAGGAUUAGUUAUGGUUUCAAAUUGGUAACCAUUUGAUUCGCUUGUCAAUUGUCGAAUGGUGCUUGGUUACUGGACUUUCAUUUGGUGUUGAUACCAAUCAAAAAAAUGAUGAAAUGGAGCAGAGGCUACGGAAUACGUAUUUUGGUGGUGUGCAUCGUAAGAUUAAUGUGAAGCAAUUCGAUGCAGUAUUUAAGGAGUUGAAAUUCGAGGAAAUUGACGAUAUGGACGCAUUAAAGAUUGCGUUGUUUUAUUUUGCGGACAGAGUACUAAAUGCAAGAAAAAAUCACUGUCAAAUUAAUUUCGAUUGGCUUGACCAAGUUGAUGAUAUACAGUACUUCCGAAAGCGUCCAUGGGGUCUAUUGUCGUGGGAAAUGAUUUACGAGAGUCUUGACAAUGCACUGUUCGAGAAAGACGAGAAAUUUAAGAAGACUCGGUUGAAAAAUCCAGAUCAUAAUAUUGAAAAAUACAAUCUUUACGGCUUUACGUGUGGGGUUCAGGUGCUAUUUUUUUUGUUUAUUAAUAAGUUUUAUAGUAUUAAAUAUUUGAUAGUUGUUUUAUUUGAUUUUUCACUUUGGUUGUUGUAGGCUUGGAUUUACGAAGCAAUCGGAGGGUUGCCAUCGACAUGGGUCGUCAAAACGAAGAAUAAGAUUCCCCGCAUUCUGCAAUGGAAGCCCAUGGCGUCUUCGAGAAUCAACUUUGCGGAGGUUUAUUCGUUCUUCAACGACGAAUCUCGUCUUGUAAGUAAUAUGUAUUACCUAUUUUUUUAACUUUACUAAAUUUAAGUUAUGUAUACUUACUUAAAAUUUUAAAUUGAAUUUAUGGAAGGGGGACGUUUUACAAACUCUUGAGCCAAAUUCAAAGGAGAGUAGCAGAAAUUAUUGGCUCUCUGUGAAGGAUUACUUGCCAAGCAUUCCAGACUGGGUUCAUAAGGUCGGUAUACUCUGGGCACUAAAAAUUUGUUAAUCGAAAUUUUUGACUUUUCAUUUACUAAUUUUAAAUGAUACUUUAUACAGCACCAACCCUCAAUCAACGCGAUGCCGUCGGUUACAAGGCAAUCAGACGAGCAUGACGAUCAUGACGACAUACCAAACCCAAUACCAGAGCAGCGUCAUGACACUUUUGAGGAUGAGGUGGCUGUUGAUGACCACCAGCAGCAAACAGACAACUCUGAUGACGCACGGGAUUCUGAGGUUAGAAAUAAUAUACGAUAUUUUUUUUUAUAAAUUAUUAUUUUUUUAUUGUUAUUCUAAAGUUUUAUUUUUUUCUUUUGUAAUAGUCGAGGACAAAGCAGUUUAAUGAUUACGUACGACGACGGCUGGAUAAGAUUGAUCGUAACGUGUAUGAAAUAAAGUCAGAAUUAAAAGAUUUUAAAGAAACUGUUGUUGGCUUCAUCGACACAUUUUCUAAACGUCCAAAUAAGGAUUCUCCCACUGCACGCUCGUAUGCGGUAAGCUAAUUUAAAUUUAAUAAUAAUGUGGCUGUUGAUGACCACCAGCAGCAAACAGACAACUCUGAUGACGCACGGGAUUCUGAGGUUAGAAACGUUGGAGUGUAUACUGACGUGGGCAAUGAAAAUUUGUCUACGCCCACGUCAUUGUAUAGUUUCUACGGGGAUGUAAGUGGGGAGAGCGUGCAGGUGUUCACAGAGGUGCCUCCGGGCGUUAGUAAGUUCGGCCGCGCGUACAUACCGUCGUAUGUUUAUAACAGUCCUUAUAUGAUUCCUCCGGUCAGGCGAGGACAGAACGUCCGGCCUUUACCUCGACCCCAAAUCAUGGAGCAUGCGAUUGACAUGAGUACGAGUGUGGAUGUAAAUCCACUGAGAGGAUUGGAGGACUCUAGUCUGUUUGCUGAGUUUGAUCGAUGGUUCACUGGUGAUAGCAGAGUCCGCCGGAGAGUCCAGCACCCGCGGUCAUUCUUUCAAAUAAUUUUGGGGACAACUUCGAUGGGAUGGCUAGGCGAUGAGGUAUUUAUAAUUUCCUCGUGGUGUAUACUGUUGUGAAUUUGUGUUUAAAUUUUUUUUUAAAAACUCGUAAUAUUUCUGUUUCUCUACAGCAUAUUCACGAGUAUCUCCGCUUGAUUAGCGAGAAACAACGGCAGUAUCCAAAUGCCUUACUCCAACGUGUCACACAUACUGACACAUUUUUUUGGGUAACGUGCCGACAAAACUUAUAAAUUUUAUUAAAUUAUAAAAAUUUAAGUUUUAUUAAUUUAUGCAUUUCUUGGUUAUCUAUGUAUUAGGUGUUCUUGAAUCAGUUAUGGAAUAACGGGAAUUGUGCAGUCGAUUCAAUGGUAUUCGACGACCGCUUGAAUAGUUAUCUUUGUGGGCGACAGCACACAAUGUCUAAAUCAAUGACGGAUGUCGAUAUGGUAUGUAUUUUAUUACAUUUCACAUGCUAUAUAAUGAAAAUAUUCAAGUAGGUGCUAUUUCUUUGUUGUAUUUUAAUUUUCAUACAUAACGAACAUGUUUUUCAAUUGUUAUAUGCAGUUACUCAUCCCUGUUAACUUGGACGGCGCGCAUUGGGUACUAGCACGAGUUGACUUUCGGAAAAAUAAAGUCUGGAUUUAUGACUCAUUACUCUCAAAUCGCGACGACAAAAGGUACAAGUUGAAAUUCAAGCCACUUGAAGUUAUAUUCCCUCGAUGGUUGGAAUAUGUUGGCUUCUACAAUAUCCGACCGGAGUUGCGGAGUGAAGACCCGUGGAAAGUUAUCGCAGUUAAGAGCGCGCCACAACAAGAGCCCGGAAUUGGCGAUUGCGGUGUUUUUGUAUUGAUGGUUACGAUGUAUUUAAUGUUCAGGCUUAGAUUGGAGUUUAACGCUAGUCAUGUCGAGUACUUUAGAAAGAAGAUUGCGGUUGAUAUAUUUAAUGACGAUAUUAUAUUGUAAACCUAUGUAGUAAUUUAAAUGUUGAAAUUUGAUUUUUUUUUUACUUCGCGCACUUAAGUUUAUAUAAUUUUAAUGCCUCACAUUUUAAACUUUAAAUAAAGUUUUAUGAAAUAUAAGUGUACAAUACACAAAAAACAAUAACAGUUUUAACCAACGAAACACAAAAACAAUAAUAGUUUUAACAAACUCAUAACACACAAAAUACAACUAACUUCGAGUCGACGCAAUGGGAUUCUUACAUCUCUUACGAUUAUGGCCUAGUUCAUGACACCGACCGCAUCUUACAGUCCGCCGGUCAACGUCCUCGCCAGCCGAGGGUAUUCUGAGCUCUUUACGACGGCCAGGUGGUGGUGCCUCAACUGGUGGGUAUACUUGCAUCUCCUGAAUUUCAUCUGGAACUUCCCAAUCAGCCACAUCACCAACUGGCUCUACUGGUUGUGCAUAAGCCAUCGCCAACGAUUCUGUAGUGUAAAAGUCCGAGCAAAGGUUAAUAAAAUCCACCCGGUGUGUUAAACACGCCGCAAUUGCAUGAGCACACACAAGCUGAUCAAGCUGGAACACUCUGCAGGAGCAAGUUCUCUUUUGCAAGUCAACCAAACCUUCCUUAAGCCCACCGCCUACCACUUGAAAUCGAUGCGGAGACACCGGCCGAACUAUCAUUCUUUCAGCUAUAGUUCUCCUCUCAGUGACUAUUUCAUCCGCCCAUGUUGUUAGCCGAGUAGUCAUUGAUUCAGCCACAAUUUUUCUAUCAUAAAACCAUUGCUGCAUUGUUUUUCUAAAGUGAUCAACAAGAUGAGUAACAGGAAAUUUUCGAGGUUCCCGCAUGAAAGAAUUAACACUCUCCGCGAUGUUGGUGGUAAGUAUGCUGUACCUCCUACCUUCAAACUGAGACCUUGCCCAAUUACACGUACCGACAUUAUUUUCUAGGUAAUCAGCCGCACCCGAGUGGAUCAUCCACAACCCUUCAAGUUGUCUCUUAAAUUCCUCGUGGCCAUAUGCUUUUGCUGCAUUAAUAAAGGCAGGCUCAAAUUGAUCCCAAAGAGCUUUGGACAUUCUAAACUGAGACUUAAUGUUACCUUUGACGUGGUAAAAACAAACGCCAUGACUUGCAUUGUGAAAUACUUUAAGAACGGCUCUCCUUAUGGCAGUGCAUCGAUCAGAGAUAAUUACCAACUCAGGUCUAUCGCCAAUCACUCCGUGUAACUUCAUCAUAAACCAUUCCCAAGCAUCAUUGUUUUCUGAAUCCAUGAUCCCAAUCGCUAACGGAUACAAUUGAUUGUUACCAUCAAGACAUGUUGCCACGAACAUGCUUCCACGAUAUAGUCCCUUCAGAUGAGUACCAUCUACAGCAAUGACAGGCCGAAUGUACUGCAUAAAACCCUUGAUGGAAGAUCCGAGUGCUACAAAAUAGUACAAGAAAUUACCAUCUCCAUCCUGCUCGAGGUGAGUGACUGUACCCUCAUUAGCUGUAGUUAGUACGUGAGAGUAUUUAGGGAGCAAGUUGUAUGACUCUGCAGGGUUGCCUCGAACUAUUUCAAGACCAACUUCUCUUGCCCGAUAUGCCUGCUGGUAUGUUAACUGAACACCGUAUUCCUGUUGCAUAUCUGCUCUUAUGUCAUUCGGAGUAUAAAUCCUCUUGUCUUGAAUAUAUUUUUCUGCGAUAAUAUGACCGACAACCCGGCUCCUUACUUGAUGACGUCCAUCAACCAAUACCUCAUUAUGACAAGUGUGUACAUUGUCAAUUCUCUUCACCACCCAAGGAACAUUUUGCUCGUUCGAACAUCUAGUUGCUCGAAUACGCCAUUUACAUGAUUCUGAACAACAGUGAGCCUCGAAACGUGUCGUAGUAGACCGUGCAAUCUUGAAAUCAAACUUAUCUCUAAAGGCAACCUUGCGUAGUUGUAAUAUAAACUCAUUCUUCUCAGCAAAUAGCUUACCCACACUGAUAUCAUCUGAAUCACAACUGCUAACAAAACUUGGAGCAACCAUGUUCGAAGGCAAAGUUGGAGUAAGACUUGUAAGGGGGUUCGCCUUCUCGAUCGAACCAUAGAAGGACUAGGUCUAUUGCCUCUGUUAUUCACAGGAGUAUUGUCUUCACACUCAUCGUCGUGCUGAAACGACGGAACAUUCGAAGGACCGGCUCCUCCAUCAUCACCAUCAUUAUUGAAAUGAGUGCCCCUCGUAUUAUUAGAAGGUUCUGCACAAGCAUUAUCCCCCUCUGUCUCAUGAUGAAAAUCAUCAUUGUCCCGAAAAUCAUUGUUGUGAUACGGAGAAUACCGUUGCUCCAACGACAUCGUUAUUGGAAAUACCGUUGCUCCAACAUCCUCUAACGUAACGCCGUUAUCAUCAAUGUUGUCAUAAUUGUCGUGGAUUGGAGAGUAAUAUUGCUGCAACGAUAUUGUCCUUGGCAACACCUCUUCAUUAUUAUCGGGGCCAGACAUAUUUGCUCUAAACGAAGUUUCUGUAUCGACAUGUGGCUCAAUACCUUCGCUCGGAACUCGAGGUGAUGUGGUCACGAAUAUAGGAAUGCAUCCAAAAUUGGCUACGUCGGAUGCCAUAUGCAACACAACCCUCACCAUUUCAUCAUUAAAUAUAUCCAUGGGCAGUGCACAUAUACGAUAUAAUGUGUUACUAGACCUCAAAGUUGUCUUCAUUGUAAUACUAUAUUCAUUAGGGUUUAUUUGUAACACCUCGUAUACUCUUGCCAAUAACUGAUCAAACAGACAAUUUUUUCCAACCAAAAAAGCUCGAUUUUUACCAUUCACAUACUCCAUACGGCCAUCCUCUAAUGUCUCCCACCAACCAUCGUAACACAAUUCAAGUACAACUGAAUCCAUUAAGCCUGAAAUUAUCAAAAAAAAAUUAAUUGGAUCCGGAUCAAAUUAAUACAGUUUUAAUGAAUCUCUAAGGCUUGGUGCGACAGACAGCCUGUCGCCCGAAGCUUGGUGCGACAGGCAGCCCGUCGCCAGAUUCACCCACGACUCAGUUAACCAAGUUCAGAAAAUAACUCAUACCACCAAGUUCAGAAAAUAACUCAUACCACUAAGUGAUGCCGAUUAGUGUUGGAUUCGGAUAGAUUAUGAUCGGAUUUCACUUUUACUGUUGUCUUUUGCCGUCGACGUUGGUUGAUGAUUAAGCUGCGUUUGGUCUGACGAUAUGGGAGAAAGAUUGUUGCUUUUGGUCUGUAAAGAAGGGUAAUUUGGGGAGAAAGGCUUGUGUUUGGCUAAUGUUGAUAGAAAAAAGUUGAGAGGGUUAGUUGUGAAAAUAAUAAAAUAUUUAUGGCUAUUUUCGUAAAUUUCCCUUAAAGCACCACUACAUACGUUUGAGUCUGAAAUUGCUCCAAUUAGUAUUAUGAUUAUUAUUUUAAAAAACUCAACCUGAGCAACGUGCCUCAGCAUACAAUAUUUAUUGAGAACUACAAAGUAAUAGUGGGAGGGGGUUGCCCUGGGUUUUGUUUAAAAAUUGAAGUAAAAAAUUUUCAAAUUUCAAAUUUCUAGUACAAAGAAAAUUGAUGACUAAAUUAAAUUCUGCAAAUUAAUUUCUAAUAUUACAUGAAAAUAUUAUCAAGUUAAUUGGUAACAUCGUUAAUCACUUAAUCCUCAAUCUAAUACGUUAUGUAUUUGUUACUCUGUCUUAAAUCAAAAGUCGCGGUGAUUUAUUUUUUAUUUUCACUAAUCAGAAAGGCAUGUUAGAGCUUUUAUUUUGUUGAAAAUGAACCAAAAAAACUCCGAUUGGGAGAUUAUAAAUGUAAUUAACAAUAAUUUAACUUUCAUUUUGAAAGUCAUUAUAUUAUUUAUUCAGGAGAAGCGUUCUUUUAUAUUUUAUAGAUAUAAUGUUUGCUAAUCCUAAUUUAAGCUAAAGCAUAUGCAUUUCCUAAUUAAUUCUAAUUUAAGCUUAUUCAACUGCAAUCAAUUAAUAUUCGAUAAUACAAAUUCCAAAUACUAUAUACUCUAAGAAUUUUAAUCGUAAUGACAAGGUGAUAAUUUAAUUAUUACCGUUAAGUUAUAUAUGUAUGGUGGAGAGGAGUCCACACGGUUUUGACGAGAAAUUAAAGACAAUAUUUAGUUAAGCUAGUAGUAUUUGUUCUGUUUAGUACGUCGUUUUACCAGCAAGCAUCCCGGCAAUGCACGCAUUAAUAAAAAAAUUUAUCUAUUUGGACUGAUUGGUAGUGAAAAAUUCCACAUACUUUAAAUUAAGAAAAUGCUAAGCAUCUUAAAGAAAACAAUUAAAAUAUUGUCACUUGAUGCUUGAAUCAUUAUUUUUAAAUAUCUCCGUUGAGUUGUAUUCCCCAGUUGUGAGUAUCAUUAUUGUCUUUGCUAUCUAAUCAAUUCAAUUUUCUUUCUGGAGACAAGAUUUUAAUUCCUUUCAUCGUUACAAAAACGGAACCAUGGUUGAUGUGGGAGAGAUCUUACUCAACGCCCUCUUUCAGGUGUUGUUCGACAGGUUGGCUUCCCGUGAUUUGCUCAGCUUUGUCCGUCAACUUGGAGGGGGGGUCGAUUCCGAGCUCAAGAAGUGGGAAAGAAAGCUGAAGAUGAUUCAGGCGGUGCUCAAUGAUGCAGAGGAGAAGCAACUGACCGACGAGGCUGUGAAGAUGUGGCUGGACGAUCUCCAAGACUUGGCUUAUGACGCUGAGGACAUUCUUGAUGAGUUUGCUACUCAAGCUUUGGAAAGCAAGUUGAUGGAGCAAAAUCAGGAUAGCUCUGGCCAGGUUCUCAGUUUCAUCCCGGCUAGUUUGAAUCCGAAUGCUAUUAUGUUCAAUUAUAGCAUGGGGUCCAAGAUUAAAGAUAUUACUAGUCGGCUGGAGCAACUCUGCCAAGAAAGAAUUGAACUUGGACUGCAACGGAUUACUGGAGGGGCAUCAUCAACUGCUGCUGCUACACAGCAGAGGCCGCCCAGUUCGAGUGUCCCAACAGAACGUGAAGUAUUUGGAAGAGAAGAAGAUAAGGCCAAAAUUCUUGAUAUGGUAUUGGCCGAUACCCCAAGUGAUCAUGCCGACUUUGUUGUAAUACCCAUUGUUGGCAUGGGCGGGAUAGGAAAAACAACUCUCGCUCGGGAGGUUUACAAUGACAAGGCCGUUGGAGAUUCCAAGUUUGAUGUAAAAGCAUGGGUUUGCGUAUCUGACGUCUUUGAUGUUUUGGGCAUCUCAAAGGCACUUCUUGAGUCAAUCACCCGCAGGCCUUGUCUUCUAAACAGUUUAAACGAAGUGCAGGUUGAAUUGAAAGUAGCUGUGGAUAAAAAAAGAUUCUUGCUGGUCUUAGAUGAUGUUUGGAACGAGGAGUACAGCUUGUGGGUAGACUUAAAAGCUCCGUUCCUGGCUGCUGCACCAAACAGUAAGAUGAUUGUCACCACACGCAAUUCAAAUGUUGCAUCAACAAUGGGACCCAUUGAACAUUACAAUCUCAAGAGUCUGUCAGAUGAUGAUUGCUGGUCCAUUUUCAUAAAGCAUGCAUUUGAAUCUAGAGAUCUUAACGCACAUCAAAUUUCAGAAUCAUUCCGCAAGAAAGUUGUUGCCAAGUGUGGAGGCUUGGCCCUGGCAGCAAAAACACUCGGAGGCCUUCUGCGUACGACGAGGCAUGAUGCGUGGGAUGAUAUAUUAGAGAGCAAAAUAUGGGAUUUACCUCGACAAAGUGGGGUUCUCCCAGUAUUAAGAUUGAGUUACCAUCAUCUUCCUUUUCAUUUGAAAAGAUGUUUUGCUUUCUGUGCAAUCUUUCCAAAAGAUUAUGAAUUCAAUGAGAAGGAGGUGACUUUUUUAUGGAUGGCCGGAGGUAUUAUUCGACAGUCAGGAAGCAAAGAGCGGCUAGAAGAUUGGGGCAGCAAGUGCUUCCAUGAUCUGGUGUCAAGGUCAAUUUUUCAGCAAACAGCAAUCUCUGAUAGUUCUAAAUUUGUAAUGCAUGACCUUAUUCAUGAUCUUGCUGAAUUGGUCUCUGGAGAAACCAUAUUUAGGUUAGAGGAGGCCAAUACUCUGUCAAGAAGAUUUGAAAGGGUUCGCCAUUCUUCCUAUGCUUGUGGUGAAUAUGAUGGUAAAAAUAUGUUCGAGGUUUUCAAUGAAAUUGAACAUCUACGAACAUUCUUGCCAUUACGCUUACGCAUAAGAGGUGGCUCUAAUACUAGUUACAUAACUCGUACGGUUCUAUCUGAUUUGCUGCCGAAGUUCAAAAUGUUGAGAACGCUAUCUUUACAAGGAUACCGUAUCGGUGAGUUACCAAUUCCAUUUGAAGAUUUGAGACUUCUAAGGUUCCUCAACCUUGCUGACACUGACAUAAGAAGUUUACCUGAGUCAACAUGCAAAUUGCUGAACUUGGAAAUUUUGAUAUUAAGGAAUUGUUCCUGUUUAACAAAGCUUCCCCAGAAAAUGAGGAAUUUGAUCAAUUUACGUCAUCUCGAUAUAAGAGGUGCGAAGUUGCUGAAGGAGAUGCCAUUCGGAAUGAAAGAGUUGAAGAAGCUUCAAACAUUGUCCAAUUUUAUUGUAGGCAAGGGUGAAUCCGCAUCUGGUUUGGAAGAUUUAAAAAGUUUAAACCUUCUUUGUGAUGAACUCUGCAUUGCUGGAUUAGAGAAUGUGAAUAAUCCACAGAAUGCAAGAAGAGCCGCAUUAUGCGAGAAGCUCAAUCUUGAAGCAUUGACUCUAGAAUGGGGGUCUCAAUCUGACAGUCCUCGAGAUGCAGUACCAGAAGAGAAUGUACUUGACACUCUACAGCCUCAUAAACGUAUAAAAGAGCUGGCAAUCAGGCACUAUGGUGGUGCAAGAUUUCCACUUUGGAUCGGAGAUCCUUCAUUCUCCGGGAUGAAGGUCCUUAAAUUGGAGAACUGUGACAAUUGUGUAUCUCUGCCAUCGCUUGGCCUGUUGAGUUCACUUAAGCACCUUGCUGUUAAAGGGCUGAAGAAACUAAAAAGCAUAGAGUCUGAGGUUUAUGGGGAGGGUUUCUCAAUGCCUUUUCCAUCACUGGAGAUUCUAAGUUUCGAGAAUUUGCCAGAAUGGGAGCAUUGGGACACCGAGAUCAAAGGAAAUGUGCCUGUUGAUAUAUUUCCUCGUCUCCAAGAACUUUCCAUUGCAGAAUGUCCCAAACUCUCCGGAAAACUGCCUGAGCUCCUGCCCUCCUUGAAGACACUUGUUGUUAGUAAAUGUGAAAAGUUGGUAGUUCCAUUGUCUUGCUAUCCGAUGCUCUGCAGAUUAGAAGUUGAUGAGUGCAAAGAACUAGUCUGCCGGACUCCGAUUGAUGUUGAGUUGAUAAAGUCUAUGACUAUUUCAAAUAGUUCAUUAGACCUGAAUGGAUGCAAGGGGAUGCUAUACGAUGGUUCAGCUGGCUCUUCACUGCCAAAGCCCAUGACUACUACAAAUGUUUUGGAGUUUGGAAAAUUAUUGAAGCCUGGAUUUCAGAUAUUCGAAACUUUGGUAAUUGGCAAUUCUGAACAGCUCAAGUCAUGGAGGCAGCAUGGGGAUUUUCCGAAAAAAUACAUGGUCACUGACCAUGGGUUUAAGAAACCAGUACGAGGGCUGAAUAUGCUCGCUUCCCCUGAAGAGGUAACAAUUGAAGAAAGUUGCGUACGUCUUGUUUUGUUUCCAGAGAUCAAUUUCUUUCCCAGAAAUCUGCGCUCUCUUCUAAUUGAUAACAGCACUGCUUUCAAAUCCUUACCCGAGGAAAUGAUGGAAAACAAUUCACAACUGGAAAGGUUGUAUAUCAGAGAUUGCGACUCUCUAACAUUCAUCGCAAGACGGAGGCUACCAGCAUCUCUUAAAAGGCUUGAGAUAGAAAAUUGUGAGAAAUUGCAACGUCUGUUCGAUGAUGAAGAGGAUGCUUCUUCUUCUUCUCCUGCAUCCUCGUCUUCCCCAGUGAUGCUGCAACACCUGAGAAUAGAGAACUGCCCAGAGCUCACCAGUUUAUCAUCGGGUGUCCAAUUCCUCGAGGCGCUUGAAUACCUCGAGAUACGGGAUUGUCGAAAGCUAGAGUCAAUACCGGAUGGCCUGCCCAAUCUUAACUGUUUACAGAGCAUUCAUAUAUGGAAAUGUGACAAGCUCGAAGCCCUGCCCACUGACAUGCACAAACUCAACUCUCUUCGAGAUUUAAGCAUAUUGCGGUUUCGAAAUCUUGUAUCGUUUCCAGAAGAAGGUUUUUCUACCAAUCUAACAUCACUUAUAAUUGGAUAUGUCAAAAUGUGUAAGACACUCGUCCAGUGGGGGUUGCACAGGCUUACCUCUCUUAAACGCCUCUGGAUUGUUGUACGUGAUGAUGAAGCAGAGUGUUUUCCAGACGAGGAGAUAGGAAUGACGCUGCCCACCUCUCUCACUGAUCUGGACCUUUCGGGAUUCGAAAAAUUGAUAUCUCUGUCUUCGACGGGUUUUCAGAGCCUCACCUCUCUUCAAUCUUUGUGGAUAUUGGGUUGCCCAAAUCUCACAUCAUUUCCAGAGGUGGGCCUUCCAUCCUCACUUUUGGAAUUACACAUUAGAGAUUGUCCAAAGCUUAAAAAAGCGUGCAAAAGAGAUGAAGGAAAAGAGUGGCCCAAAAUUGCUAACAUCCCUCGCGUUGAGAUAGACAGCAAAUUCAUAUACGAUCCAGAAUCAGAGGAGUAGAUUCUACUAUUAAGGUCAGUUGAUUUGUAUUAUCCGCUAUAACAAGCCCCUCCUUUUUUUUUCUUUUUUUUUUUAAAUAAUAAUUUUGCAGUCACUCACGUGAUUCCGUUUUCACAAGUCAGAUUGUAUGUUGAGGCUAUUUGCCUUCUAAUCGCAGAUUAAAUUAUAACACUUAUCUUAAAAUUUAAUACCAUAGAUAGAUAGACGAUUUUUUAAUCCAAAGCUUUUUUUAUUCACUUCAGUUAGCAUUUUUUUUUUCCCCAAAUCAUGCAAGCCGAGAGUUUCAAUCAAGAAUUGGAGGAUGUGAAUGGGAUUUUUGUGAAAGAGUAACAUAAUGGAUGACCGAACAUUUCAUAUGUGAUCUCAAAGUCAACAGAAUUUUAUUCACUCAUUGACUUUUCAACUGCUGUGGUUAUUUAUGGGUGAAAGAAAGAUAAGGGCAAUUACAAAAAAUUUGCAAAAUUUGUCAAUUUCUUAGAUGGUAGAUAUAUCUACAUUUUAGAUUUCAUAUAUUUUGAUGCUUUUUUAAAUUUUUGAUCUAGUAAAAAUACAUAGCCUUCACCGGCAGGAUUCAAGUCUUGUCUUCAAUGGGUUUUCAAAGCCUCGCCUCUCUUCGAUUUUUGUGGAUCGCUUCGAUUUUUGCACAAAUCUCACAUCAUUUCCCGAGGUCGAGGAAAAGAGCGGCCCAAACUUGCUCGCAUCCCUUGGGUUAUGAUAGAUGGAAAAUUCAUAUACGAUCCAUAGUCAGAGGUGUAGAUUCUCUUAUUAAGGUCAGCUGAUUUCUAUCAUCCACUCUGACAAUCUCCUAUUAAUGUUUUUCCAUUUUUUUUUUCAAAAUUUUGCUGUUCCGUAUAAUUGAAAAUGCCACUCACUUGUUUCCUAUUAGUAUGUUGAGGCUAUUUGCUUUCCAUCAGUGUUUGUUAAGGUAAUUAGUGCUCCCUCAUAGGUAUGACUGGAUUUUUUUCACUUCCGUAAAUAUUGCAUUUUAGACUGGCAAAUUUAGCAGUAAUUUUAAUACAAUUUUGUUGGUGCCUUUUGUUCCAGAAGCUAGAAAAAUGUGUAGUUUUCAGAUAAGGAGGCUCGUCAGUUCUUUAGUAAGAAUCCAAUAAUUUGCUUUUGCACGUCCAUCUAAUUUGUGGAUCCUUGCAUCAGAAUUUGAUCAAUCCAAAAGGAAUUGCUUUUAGACAGAAAAAGAAUAGCAGUACCUAGCCUAUGUCAUAGUGUAUGGACCCGCAAACCUGAAACUAUUAGAUUGAGGUAAAAAAAUCAUUGACCCUCACAUGUUAACUUCUUCUAGUUACUUUCGUUGGGAAAAAAACAUUUAAGGAAUUUGCAAUUUGUUGUUAGUUAUGGUAUCUGAUGUUCUUUUCUGUUUUAGCGUUUGUAGAGUCUACUGUAUUAUGUGUUGGCAGUUGCCGUAUCUGAGGUAACUUGCCUUUAUUUGCCAGAGAUUUAGAGAAGCAUCUCAAAACACAGCAAACUUGAAAAACUUCAAGAUGCACUUGCCCCCACGCCUUAUUCUCCACAACACAAAACUUGUGAGUACACCUAUGCCUGCAAUUAUUGUGAAGUGUUCGCAAUUCUGAUGCAGAGAAAUGGUUUCUUGAUGCAAAGUAUUAAACUGUUAAGAUUUAUCCUGCAGGCUUGUUUGAUGCUGUAUACUCGAAAAGCCAACAACAUCAAGAACUACAACUCCAAGACCAGCUUUGUGUUAAUUCAGUCAGCUGUAAUAAUGAUGCAAAUGACACUAUAUCAAGCUGGACUUAGAGACUAGUCAGAUCAAUCAUCCAUUUCAUGAACGGUUAAUGUCAUGAUGGUGGCUAUCAGAGGAAACAAAAGAUGUGUCGGAAUCUAUACGAACAUUGAGAAGCGUGAGAGGAGCUUUGAUUUUGAGUAGGGUCAAUGAACUCAUGUUGGUAAGUGGUAAUUAAAGAAAUUUGUAAGCUUAAUAGAGUUUCAGUAUUUUCUGUUUGGAGUAUAGUUGAUAAGUUGACUCUGUUUAAGAAGCCCUAUUAUAGUAGUUGACUGUAUUAUCCUUUUUUUUUUGGUCUGCUGUUGUUUUUGGUUUCGAUUAUUUUUUCAACAUUGGGUUGAUCUGUUGAAGAACAAGCUUGGGUUUGAUUAUGCUUUAACUACAAGGAAGAGCCAGACUUGGAUGCAGGCGUUAAGCUUUUAAUGGGUAAGAACAAAUGAAUGCUUUAACCAUGUUUCUCACUUAUUAAAAUGCACGGAUUGAAGGCAUCUAGGUUGAUCCUGACAAUGUGAUGGAAAUACUUCUCUGUUUUCAUAUAAUAGGACAAAUAGAGAUCUCUGAUCAUGCCUGAAUUUUUGUUGCAUUGAAAUUUCUACCAUUACCAAACAUAGAAUGAAUUCAUUAGCUUAAGCCUCAAUUUUGAGAAGGAAGUUUGUACUUGCAGCCUAUAAAAUCAUGUCCGUGUCGUACGUUUCUUUGGGAAAUGAAAGAUUCUGUGUUCUUUUAUUUCAAGUUCACUGAAAUCACAUUUGUUUCCUCAGAUGCUUUCCAGAAGGUAACAACAUCAAUUUCAAAAAUGCUGGGGCAAGAUGCAUCAUGCAGUGCGACUCAACUUGAGAAUUCCUGGCCACAUUACCCGUAUGUCGAAUGAUCGCACAGUACAACCUUUAGAAGCUUGUAAUGAGUACACAACUGGGUGCAAGUAGUUUCGAAAUGAAUUUGCCUCAAAUGAUUUCUUGCUCACAUCCCUUGGGUUAUGAUAGAUGGAAAAUUCAUAUACGAUCCAGAGUCAGAGGUGUUGAUUCUCUUAUUAAGGUCAGCUGAUUUCUAUUAUCCACUCUGACAAUCUCCUAUUAGUGUUUUUUUUUUAAUUUUGCACUUCUGUAUAAUUGAAAUGCCACUCACUUGUUUCCUUCUUCACAGGUCAGAUAGUAUGUUGAGGCUAUUUGCUUUUUAUCGGUGUUUGUCAAGGUAAUUAGUACUGCCUCAUAGGGUUGAUUGCUCACAGAUGAAAUUAUAACUUUUAUCUUAAAAUUUAAUAGCAUACACAGAUAGACGAUUUUUAGUCUAAAGUUUUUUUAUUCACUUCAGUCAAAAUUUUAGAUUGCAGAUUAUUGUCAAGUAUUUCAUUACAAUUUUUUCAUUUUUUAUUUUAAACCAGAAUAUGAGUAUAACAUUUUGGAGCGUGCAUACUCUGAUGCAUGCAAUUAACUGUUUUUAAUCAUUGGAUUUUGUAAUUAAUGAUGGUAAGAUGUGUACUUAUUCUGUCUUCCAACAACCUUGCCCUCUUUCUUCGGUCGCAUAUCUAAUGAAUAUUUCUCUGUUUAGUUAAGGAUGAAUGCUUGGAGUGGGGUACUUGGUAACAUUUCUGCCUCAGAUGAAUCCCUGAAGAAAUGCCUACGGUUCCUGAGACCAAAUACAGGUCUGAUUCAAACAGCACCUUUCCCAGAAAAUAUGAUCCAAGGCAAAGUCAUGUUCUGAUAAUGUUUCCUUAAGUACAAAGUUGCAAGGAAACUUGAUUCAUUAACUACAGUUUUUUAUUUUUAGGACCUUGUAUCUGAAAGGUUCAGUGUAUUUUUUUUUUUUCAAAUUAUUUGUUCAGAUCUCAGAGGAGUAUAUGGUUUAGAUUACAAAACACUUAUGAUCAAUUUCAUUUUUUUUUUUUUAAUCUCAGGGAGAAGAAGUGGUCAGUUUCAAUCCGGAAUUGGAAUAUGGCAAUUUGGUUCAAGCACACACACCCGGUCACUUGGUCAGUGAACCUGAGCUUUAUGCAGUUUUUUCAACUUAGUGAUUUUUGGAACACAUAUUGGUGUAAGGAAAUCAAAAGAAAUUUAUGCAUAGUCAAAUUCUGAUAUUUGCUAUAUAUUAUACAUUCUAAAGUUUCUCCAGUUUGUUCUCAGAUUACCAUCAUUUUUUUGCCUUCACCCAAAAAAAAAAAAAAAAUCGAGUGGCUUUCCGGUGGAUAUUUAAUCGGAGGUAUGACUGGAUUUUUUUCACUUCUGUAAAUCUUGCAUUUUAAACUGGCAAAUUUAACUUUAAUUUUAAUACGACUUUGUUGGUGCCUUGUGCUCCAGAAACUAGAAAGAUGUGUAGUUUUCAGAUAAAGGGGCUUGUAAAUUCUCUAGUAAGAAUCCAAUAAUUUGCUUUUGCACGUUCAUUUUAUUUGUGGAUCCUUGCAUCUGAAUUUGAUCAAUCCAAAAGGAAUUGCUUUUAGACAGAAGAAGAAUUGCAGUACCUAGCCUAUGACAUAGUAUAUGGACCUGCAAACCUGUAACUAUUAGUUUGAGGUAAAAAAUUCAUGACCCUCACAUGUUAACUUCUUCUAGUUACUUUCAUGAAAAACACAUUUAAGAAAUUUGCAAUUUUUUGUUAGUUUCGUAUCCGAUGUUGUUUUCUGUUUUAGCAUUUGUAGAAUCUACUGUAUUAUAUUUUGGCAGUUGCAGUAUCUGAGGUAUGUUUUGCAUUUAACUUGCUUUAUUUGUUUUGCUUGUGACUUAAGAACACCAAUAUUUGCCAGAGAUUUAGAGAAGCAUAUCAAGCUGCUUGGCAAACUUGACAAACUUCAAGAUCCUCCAUUCUUCACAACGCAAAACUUGUGAGUACACCUAUGCCCGCAAUUAUUGUGAAAUGCUUGCAAUUUUGAUGCGCUGAAAUGGUUUGUUGAUGCAAAGGUUUAAACUUUUAAGAUUUACCCUGCAGGGUAGUUGGAUGCUGUAUACUCGAAAAGCGACCAACAUCAAGAACUAUGACUCCAAGACCGGGUUUGCAUUAAUUCAAUCAGCUGAAAUCAUGAUGCAAAUGACACUAUCAGCUGGACUUAGAGACCGGUCAGAUCAAUCAUCCAUUUUAUCAACAGUUAAUGUCAUGAUGGUGGCUAUUAGAGGAAACAAAGGAUGUGUUGGAAUCAAUGUGAACAAUGAGAAGAAUGAGAGGAGCUUUGAUUAUACGUAGGUUCAAUGAACUCAUGCUGGUAAGUGGUAAUUAAAGAAAUUUGUGCGCUUAGUAGCAUUUCAAUAUUUUCUGUUUGGGAUAUAGUUGAUGAGUUGAUACUCUGAUUAAGAAGCCUGAUUAUAGUAGCUGACUUUUUUUUUGUGGUUUGCUGUUGAUUUUUCUUUUGAUUAUUUUUUCAACAUUAGGUUGAUCUGUUGAAGAACAAGCUUGGGUUGAUUAUGCUUUAACUACAAGGAAGUGCCAGACUUGGAUGCAGGCGUUCAGCUUUUAAUGGGUAAGAACAAAUGUAUGCUUUAACCAUGUUUCUCACUUAUUACAAUGCACGCAUUGAAGGCAUCUGAGCUGAUCCUGAAAAAGUGAUGGAAAUACUUCUCUGUUUACAUAAAACAGGACAAGAGAUCUCUGAUCAUGCCUGAGAAUUAGUUGCAUUGAAAUUUCUACCAUUGCCAAAAAUGGAAUAAACUAGGAAUACAUUAGCUUAAGACUCAAUUUUGAGAAGGCAGUUUGUACAUGCAGCCUAAAAAAUCAUGUCCGUGUUGUAUACUUGUACGUUUCUUUGGGAAAUGAAAGAUUCUGUGUGUUCUAUUAUUUCAAGUUUGCUGAAAUCACAUUUGUUUUCUUAGAUGCUUUUGAGAAGGUAACAACAGCAAUUUCAAAAAUGCUGGGGUAAGAUGCAUCACGCAGUGCUACUCAACAUGAGAAUUCCGGCCGCAUUACCUGUAUGUUGAGUGAUCGCACAGUACAACCUUUAGAAGCUUGUAAGGAGUAGACAACUAGAUGCGAGUAGUUUCAAUAUGGAUUCGCAUCAAAUGAUCUCUUGCAAGUGAUUACUAUAACCUCUAUCCCAAAAUUCUUGGAACUGGUCAUACCAAUAAUGAAGUAUUGUGUAUGUUGAAGACAUAGCUCAAGGCCUUGCGAAAGCUUCGUCAGCCUUUGUAUUGGAAAACAGUUGGUUGUAGUUGCUUCUGAAUGAUAUUGUUAAUAGAUACUGUAAAAAUGAACUGUGCCACUCAUUUUCAGAGCCCUGUUAAGAUGUGUUGGUAAUGUGUUUGAAGGUUGUUUGAUUUAUGUUGUAUUCAGCUAUAAAUCAAAGAUUCAGAACAUGGUUAUGUUACUGGUUUCCAAAUCAAAAAAUUGCCUUGUGAUGUUAGUGUUCAUUGUUUUCACAGGAGAUCAGGUUCCCUGUUGAUGAAUCAAGAAGGCAAACGCAUCCAUGUCUUAAGUUCAAAUGUGUCUCUUCUAUUUUCUAUUACUGACUCCUUUAUUUUGAUUUCUUCAUUGUAAUGGAAUUGGUUUUUUAUUCCAAAUUAGUCAAAACCUCCUAGAGUCAUUAAGUUCUGUUAGCAUUUGAAGAUAGAACUAGAACUAAAUGAUUGACUGGAUUAAAUUCCGAUAAAGAAUUAAGUUAUAUAUUUAGAGAUAUUAUGUUUUUUUUUUUCAUUUGUUCAAUUUGGUUAGUGGUGAUUUCUUAAAGACUCAAUCCAUGUGCGUUUAUGCAUUUUUAUUUUGCCUUAAUUUCUGUUUCUUGGGGAGUUUAUACAGAUUCUUAUUUUAUGCUUCACAUGCCACAUGAAAGAUCGAAGCCUUUUGUGUGAUUAGAACUGACUUGCAUCACAGAAGUAGAUUGAUAGAGUAGAUAAUAGUAGAUUUCGCUUUAGUAUCGGAAAUUCCAUAAUUAUGCUUUUCUCUGCACUAUUUUCAAUAAAAUUAUAAAAAUCAAAACAAAAUUAUUACACAGUAAAGACUUUAGAGACAAGUACCCCCAAUAGGAUCAAGCAAAUAUGCUCUGCACAAAAUUAUUUCUUGUUCUUUUUCUUUUUGACAAUUUUAUUUGUGGUUUCAACUUUUAUGCUUUAUUGUCAUAUCUCGUUGAGGGCUCCGCUGCACCCAUUACAACUUACCCCCAUAUUGUCUUUUACUGACUAAACCGUUAGAUUUGAUGCUGAAUUUUAAUUAUACCAUCAAAUUUCGUUUAGCUCCUUAAACUCCAUUUUAUUUGUAAUUUCUUCAUAAAAUAUUCAAAGCUUCAUCAAGCUCCUAAUGGACCAUCAUGGCUAGGGGUGCGUUAGAGCCGAACUGAAAUAUGUUAGUUCAGUUCAGUUUGGUCAGUUUAAAUUGAAUGGUUUAGGAAAUAUAAACUGAUCAAUUUUAAUUUUGAAUUGAACUGAACCGAAAAUCAAUUGGUUCAGUAUUAGUAUUUUUGCAUAAAUAUAAAUUAUUAGCGAUUAUAAUUAAAUUGGACUAAAAAAAAUUCAAACUAAGGUGAAAAACAUCAAAUCUUAGAUAAUAUAAAAGAAAAAAUAUUAAAUUUUAUAAACCAAAAUGAACCGAAUUAUUUUUACUCAGUUUGGUUCAUAUUUGGUUCGUAAUUUUUUAAACCAAAUUGAUUUAUAUCCACACCCUAAUCAUGGCCCUCUAUCUUCAGUCAUUCACCCUUGAGUUUGAUGCCAAUUGUUGGGUUUCAAAUUAUUAUACACUCAAAUGAAACCCCUCAUAACCAAAAACUAACAGAAACAAUAAGAACACGAUGUUAAUAUCUUAAAUCAAUCACAAAAAAGCACUCAAAAUUAAUUGAUUAGGAGCAAUUAACAACAAAAGAUUUGAUGGUUCAAAAUCAUAAUGUGACCUAGUUCCAUCCAAGAAUCAUACUAAUUGCUUUACUAGUUGUCAAAUUGUUGUGCAAAUUUUAUUAAACUCGCAAGUGCACGAAUCUAUUGUAGAAUAGAUCAAUGGUGACGAGUGUCGAUCCCAUAAGGAGGUUGAUUUUUAAUUAUGUGUAGAAUUAAUGUUCUAUGAGGAUGGUUGGAUUUGUGGUGGAAGUGAUUUAGAUUAUACUAGAAUUUAAAUUGGAAUGGUAGAAUUAAAUUAAAGUGGAAACUAUUAUAAUUGAAGCGCUUGGGUAUUUGGAUCCGUAUCAACAUGCACCAUUGGCUAAAUAUUCCUUAUUAGUAUCAAUUAAAUCAUGAGGGGGGAAUCCACACCUCAUGAACUACACUCUAAUCAAUAUGGUGCUAAGGGCUUAUCGUGCCAAAUAAUAAUAACCUUAUACUAGGGAGUCGGUGAAACUAUGGUAAUAUCUAGACAAGAUUAUUACUAUUUGUCGACGAAAAGUCAAAACAUCCACAAAAAUUAGAGGGGAUGAGAAAGUAAAUUUACCAAUUAAAGCCCAUGGCACAUGUUGAGACUUCACUUUCUACCCAAGCUUGAAAGAAAAUUAGCUACUCAUAAUUAAACUAUGGAUAAAAUGAAAAUUUAUUAAAAUACAUAGAAAAUACAAGAUAGAAAAGAAAUUAUAGAAAAUGGAGCUCAAAAAUGAAUUCAGAGAUGCCAAAUUAGGGGGGAGAGACUCCCUUUUUAUAGAUAUUUGAUUAAAUCAUGGCCAUCGAAUUAAAACCAGUUUGGACACUCAGGAUUGUGCCACGUCAUCAAUCAACAGUACGCGGUUUGAACAGUGACACGGUUUGACCACGCGGUUUGAACAGUCAACCGGCUUGAAUAGUGACGCGGUUUGGUUGAAAAUAAUCCUAUUUAUAUGCAUGUACCGUACGCGCGAUUUUUGGUCUACUAACAUGCUGCAACGUCACCGAUCAACAAUGCGUAAGAAUUUUAUCCAAUAGAAUCGUGACACCUCAUUAGUCAAUGUCACAUUAACGUUCAAUGCCAUGUCAUCGUUCCGUAGGUGUGAAUAAUGUCGUGAACAGUAACAUAGACAGUAUCGUACGUGUAAAUAGUGUUGUGUAUGUGAACAGUGAUAUUUUUCCUUUUAUGCUCCUCCUACAGUUUUCGACUGUUCUAAGUUCAAAAGUGAUGUCCGUUUUGCCGUCUGAUCUCUCGUUUAUUGUGAAAAGACCAUGAUGCCUUUAAAAUAUAUAAAAUACUUAAUUAAAAUAAAACACACAUAAUUAAAUCACAAGAAGCUUAAAUACAUAAAAGUAGAAGUGUUAGUAAGACUUGAAAUGUAAAAUGACGAUUUUCUCCUUUAUAAAUAUACAUUUUCUAACACUCAACACAAAUACAAGAUCACAAGAUUGUUUAUCACUCGACAGAGAAAUUGUUUUUAGAAGAAAUACUCCUCAAUUUUUCUGUUAAUAGUUAUGAAUCAACACCCGCAUAAAGGCUAUUGAUUUACUUUUCCUUAUUUCCAACAUAGUCCAAACACUUUUCAUGUUACAGGCGUAGUGCACCUUCAGAAACUUUACAGCUCCUCUUAAAACCUCAAGCCUAUAGAGUGUAAUUUCGCACUAUAUGCUCAGUCUUCUCAUGAUGUUUCUGAUUUAUUUCUCGGACGAGUAACACUUUUAGCUGUCAUAAUACAAUGUAAUUGACUUUUAGCUGUCAUAAUUUUGAGAUCAUUACUUUUAAUUAAAUGAUCUCCUCUACAGCUUCUACCUAUGUAGUGUUUUAGACCUCUAUAGUUGAUCAAGCAUGUUCAAGGUGAAGGCUUGUUUUCCAAUCUAUAGUCCAAUUAUAGACUGGAAAUGGUUAGGCUUAAUGCACCUUCAAAAGCUUCACAACUUAUAUAGAAACCUUAAGCCUUAUAGAAUGCUACAAAUUUUAAAUCCACAUACUUAGUGCUCUUAUGAUUUGUUUGAUUUUUGCUUAGAUGAAGAGCACUUUAGCUAUAGACUACAUUGUAACUAAUUCAAAGCAUGCCUUAGCUACGAGAUCAUUCAUUCUAGCCAAAUGCCCCCUUUAGAGAUUCUGCUAUUGUUGUGUAUUCAGCCUCUAUAUUUGGCAAAGCAAUUACAUGUCGAAGGCUUGCUUGCUUUCCAGUUAACAGCGCAAUUACAUAGAUUACAGGUGUAACCAGGCAAAGAACUUAGUUAUUCUGCCAAGGUCUCCAACAUACUCCAAAUCCAUAUAACCGCCAGACUUCAAUCUUUAGACUCCAUAGAUCAAACCAUAACUUAGUGUGCCUUUCAAUCUCAGGUAACAUUUUACUGUUUUCCACGUCUUGCCAUGUACUUGCUGCUAACACUAACAAUUUGAGAAAUGUUAGGCAUCGUAAGCAGCCGACAACACUCUUCUUCAUUUCUUCAUUGUCAAUUUCCUUCUUGGAACAUUGCUCCAUUGAGAGUCUACUAUCAUUGCUCCAAUUAUUAUUAUUUUUGUUUUUUUAAAAAAAAAAAUUAACCCUACAAUAAGAGUAUAAGACUAAGCAACGGUCCUUUUUUUUCCCAUUCUUGAGCAUGAAGUAUUUGAGUAUGCAAUAAAAAUUGUUUAUUGAUAAUUAAAAGUUAGUAGUGGGUGGCUUUAGGUUUUGUUUACAAAAUUGACAACAAAUUGAGAUUUUUCAAAUUCAUAGGUAAGAAACUUUUCAUUUAUUCAUAGAUUUUCCGGUUUAAACUUUAAAGAAAACUUAAAAGAAAAAGAUGUAUCAUUAGACUUGUAAUUAAAAAAAUUUAAUAUUGUAUGAUCUGUUCGAUAUGCAUAAUUUAAAUAAACAUUAAUAUAGAUGUUAUAUAUCCUAAAACUUAAUUGACUUAAUUCUUACGGUGCAAGGAAGAGGUUUCCAAGUUUAAAUCUAAAGUCUUGUAUUUAAUUUGGGGUCGGGAAAGCACCGGGAAAUAAAUGUAACAAAGGAAAAAAAAAAAAAAAAGAAUGACAGUCUGAGUGGAGCCAACACGGUUUUGAAAAAAGUGCAAAAAAGGGUUUAAAAAAAAAAAACGCGGUUUGUAAAGGAAAUAAAAGCUUUUCAUUGAAUUAAGACCACUACACUCAAAUACUCUAUUAUCACCAACGAGGUCGUGGUCUAGUGGUGCCAGGGGCUAGGCUUGGUAGGGCGAACUACGGUUCGAUCCCCCGCACGCACGUUGGGAGGAGUUUAAAACCUUAACCCCGGGACGCGCUCCGAAACCGGAUUAGUCGGCCCGAUGGGUUCGGAUACCGGUUGGUUAGCACCAAAAAAAAAAAAAAAAAAUACUCUAUUAUCGUUUGUUUGCUUGCUUGUGGAAAUAAAAGUCUCAUGUUUCUUUGAAAGGUAAGCAAGUGUGAGUGUUUCUAUCUAGAGCUGGAAAAUGCAUUUCCGUGCAACUUACUUGAUGAAUGAAGUUUUCAUCUCUGACCUUGAUGUUUCCCUGAGCUGCAUUCGUUGCAGCUGAUGUAUUUCAUUUUGUUUUCGAAGGAGUGACACAAAAUCUCCUUUGUUAAGGUGAGAAUUUAGAGUGGCUUUAACUGUUAACAAAUAGCCUAAUGUAAGACUUAAUCAACUUCCUGCCCUGUUGUAUGCUUAUGAAUUUUGAUAGAGUUAUGAGUUUGCAGAAGCUACUGUAUUAUAUGUUGAUAGAGGCUGUAAAAAUGAGGCAGAUCAAACACACGUUUAAAUUUCAGUGACAAUUUACUGGAAGUAAAUUUCCUAUGACCCUACAUGUGACUAAUUGAUGAGAAGUUGACAAAUGACAAAAGAAAUUGUACGAGCUUUGCAGGCUGGCAUGCCGAUAUUGACUGCAUGGCACCAUCCGCCAUUUGGAAGUGAAUAUCAUUAUUCUUUAAUCAACAUGGUGGAGUCCACUGGGACCACACCACAUGGUCAGUCAUAUCUCUAUUCCUCAAUUUUCAGUAUUCCAUACAUCAAAACAAUUUCAGUUUUGUUAUCAAUUAUAAUUUCAUUGUUGGUGACGAUUCUGAUUCCUUUCUUUCUGACAAAACGGAACCAUGUUUGCUGUGGGAGAGAUCUUACUCAACGCCUUCUUUCAGGUGUUGUUCGACAGGUUGGCUUCCCGCGAUUUGCUCAGCUUUGUCCGUCAACUUGGAGGCGGGGUCGAUUCCGAGCUCAAGAAGUGGGAAAGAAAGCUGAAGAUGAUUCAGGCGGUGCUCAACGAUGCAGAGGAGAAGCAACUGACUGACGAGGCUGUGAAGACGUGGCUGGACGAUCUCCAAGACUUGGCUUAUGACGCUGAGGACAUUCUUGAUGAGUUUGCUACUCAAGCUUUGGAAAGCAAGUUGAUGGCGCAAAAUCAGGAUAGCUCUGGCCAGCUUCUCAGUUUCAUCCCGGUUAGUUUGAAUCCGAAUGCUGUUAGGUUCAAUUAUGGCAUGAGGUCCAAGAUUAACGAUAUUACCAGCCGGUUGGAGCAACACUGCAAAGAUAGAAUUGAACUUGGGCUGCAACGGAUUCCUGAAGGGGCAUCAUCAACUGCUGCUGCUGCACACCAGAGGCCACCCAGUUCAAGCGUCCCACCAGAACGUGAAGUUUUUGGUAGAGAAGAAGAUAAGGCCAAAAUUCUUGAUAUGGUAUUGGCCGAUAGCCCAAGUGAUCUUGCCAACUUUGUUGUAAUACCCAUUGUUGGCAUGGGCGGGAUAGGAAAAACAACUCUCGCUCGGGAGGUUUACAAUGACAAGGCCGUUGGAGAUUCCAAGUUUGAUGUAAAAGCAUGGGUUUGUGUAUCUGAUGUCUUUGACGUUUUGGGCAUCUCAAAGGCGCUUCUCGAGUCAAUCACCCGCAGGCCAUGUCUUCUAAACAGUUUAAACGAAGUGCAGGUUGAAUUGAAAGUAGCUGUGGAUAAAAAAAGAUUCUUGCUGGUCUUAGAUGAUGUUUGGAACGAGGACUACAGCUUGUGGGUAGACUUAAAAGCUCCGUUCCUGGGUGCUGCACCAAACAGCAAGAUGAUCGUCACCACACGCAAUUCAAGUGUUGCA
rnacentral:lncRNA from 1 species